UUUCAGGUUUCUCCACUGUGAUGACGUUCCUAGAGAUCAUCACCUUACAAUGAAUUAUACCAAAAUUACUGUAACCACAUCUGCUUCAUGCCUUAUCUCAUAUCCAAAGAACUCCCUUUCCCCUGUGGCCUCUGAGUUCUUGCAAACUAAAAAGAAGAGAGAAACCCAAGUCUUCCUCUGUUGCCUAAGCUGGUCUCAAACCCGUGGCCUCAAGCAAUCCUCCUGCCUCAGCCUCCCAAAGGUGGGUUGUGGCCACUCCUCUCCUCUCUGAAGUCAGUUGAUCUUCCAGAAACCAUUUUAGAAUUUGCAGAGCUGCAUCUGGAUCAAGCAGUUUGCUAAGAGGCAUUUACACCUUUAAAUCACAAAAGAGCUGUCUAACAUUGAAUCUAUGCCUAAUGAUGUAAGCAAUGUGGAUAUUGGAUUGUCUUUGAGUUUCAUAUUCAUGAAUUCUCUGGCAAAAUAACUCAUCGAUUGAUACUUGGGAUGAAGAAUGAGUAAAAACAAUGUAAAACUCUUCCAGAAAAUUAGAAAAUUUAAUUUAUCUUGGAAUUCUUUGUAGAAGUAAAUUCUUUUAGAUGGAACUUGGGGAAAGUUUUCCUGUAAUUUCUUGAAAUCAAAUUUGAUGGUACAUUGUAGUCUGACCAUUCUGCAUUCUUCAUUCUAAUUUUCCAGCAACUUGCAUUUUUUAAGUGUUCAGAUGUUGACUUUCUCAAUAAAAUAAUUA